GAGACAGUUCCCUGGCUGGAGUAUUCACCCAGUGUUAACUUUCUGAACAGUUGGGGGGUUCUUAUCCUUUUUUUUUUUUUUUAAUGGUGACUACAAAAGAUUAGAACAAAGGUUCUUUGGUUCAGUGACAAUACUCAGAUUAUUUCUAAGAAUUUUAGCGAUGACCUUUGUGUAUUGAAAAGCUUAUUUACCAUUAACAAAUACAGGAGAAACCUCUCCCCCUCCCCCAAAUGGAUGUAUUACUUGGAAUCGUGAUCUGAAAAGUGCUCUAGUUUAUUUCUUUUAACAGAAUUAAGCAGUUAAAUGUGGCUAUGGUUGAAAAGAUAGAAGAACAGCUUUUCUAGGCUGCACACAGAAGAGUACAGUUAUGCAGGUAACCACACUGAUUUACAUACGUGUUUGCCACUAAAAUCCAUUUUCUGCCCUUAUAAAUUCGAACACUGCUACUAAUAUGGUCAUAUAGGUUUCAUAUGCCUCUGUGUAUUACAAGUAAAAAAAAAAGUUUUUUCUCCUCAUUUUAAAAAGUUACUUUUCAUAAUAUGCUGACUUAAGCAUUUUAGAUCAGGGCAAGCUUAAUUAUGUAACUGUGUUGCCCAGGUUUUUAUUGGUGAAAUUCAAAUAUGAAGAUGAGAAAAAAUUCAAAAGGUUUGAGUAACAAAUUAGCAAGAAUUGCCUACAGUAAAGAGUAGGCAUUGAGAGGCUAUGCAGUAAUGGGUGGCAGUCUUUGGAUAUAUUGCUACACUGAUUUCACACUAUGCUGAAAUUGAUUCUAGCUAAAAAUUUGAUAAGAGUUUGGGUGUGAGAAGUUUUAUACUUAUGUAUGAAUCGUUUCUAAAUUCCUUUAGAUUGUAGACCUUGAUGUAACCCGAAAGGCAGAUGUCCUAUCCCAAGGAUAGCUGUAUUUUUCAUGGUUUUAAAUGAGCAACCAGAUAUUCAUUUCAUGAAAUAAUGUAAAUAUUAGAAAGUAAUAUGGAUAAAUGACAUAUAAAAGUGACAUUUCCAAAUGACAAUUCUCUGUAAUGCCUGUUGUCUGCUAAGAAGAAUCUAUCCCUGUGAAACAUUUGAAAGGUGCUGGAUUUGAAAGUACUAGAGUUUGUUACAUAAAUCAAGUUUCUCAGGAUAUUUGAGGUGAUACUGCCAUUUAUUUCUGUUAUAAUUUGGAAAAAAAUCAUUUCUUUUGUUACACUAUGAGGAAACUGCACACUUUAUUUGGUAAGAGUCCUUUAAGUUCAGUAACCUAGAGAUGAGUAUAAAACAAGUGUGGGAUCCCAGCGCUGGUCAGUUUACGGUCAGCCCACCCCUCAGUGGGGAGGUGUGAAGGAGAUCCCAGUGCUGGUCAGUUUAUGGUCAGCCCACCCCUCAGUGGGGGGUUGUGCAGUACAUAUUUUAUGGAGCUGAAUGGAACUUCAAUAGAAUAUCGUCCCUUGUCUGAGGAAAGACCACCUCAACCACAUGCCUAUCUAGAGAUUGAAUAAAACUGUGAGGAGACACUGUGUGGAUGCCUUAAGAUGGCUGGCGCUGGCUGCAGGGAACAAUCUAUUUCAGCUCAUCUUCAUAAAGCCCAAGAUGCUCCCGUGCAUAACCUUGUUGAAGAAAUGAGAAAUGCGGUGCUGGCUACUUUGAUGUGUCUGGGGAGGCUGGCGUCAUUGGUUACCAUCAUUAAGUCACUGUCCAGUGCCCAAGCCUUCCUUCACUACCACUCAUAUGUCUACAUCCAUUCAUUCAUCUAUGCAAGCUUGUGUUUUUGUGGUUUGUAUUUUACACCUGGACAUCAGGUUUAACAUUGGUGUUUUAAAUAAUUUUUAAACCAAAGUAUUUUAUGAGUAAGUCUAUGUGCUCUGUUUUUGUGAAUGUUUUGAGAUAAAUACCUAUCUUGUUUUCUCUUAAUAAAGUCAUCCAUUUAUUAAGUC
rnacentral:lncRNA from 1 species